GCAAGUCGAACGAGAAAGCACUUCGGUGUGAGUAGAGUGGCAGACGGGUGAGUAAUGCAUAGAUAAUCUAUCUUAGAGAGGGGGAUAACAUCGCGAAAGCGAUGCUAAUACCGCAUAAUAUUGAGUUAAUUAAUUUAGCUUAAUCAAAGGGUGGGAUUCUUCGGAACCACUUGCUUUUUGAGGAGUCUAUGUCCUAUUAGUUAGUUGGUGGGGUAAAGGCCUACCAAGACGAUGAUGGGUAGCCGAGCUGAGAGGCUGAUC
rnacentral:rRNA from 1 species